rnacentral:rRNA from 1 species
UACAGAGGUCUCAAGCGUUGUUCGGAUUCAUUGGGCGUAAAGGGCGCGUAGGCGGCAAGGCAAGUCGGGUGUGAAAGCUUGGGGCUUAACCCCCGAAAAGGGCACUCGAAACUGCGUUGCUAGAGGGCCGGAGAGGAGAUCGGAAUUCACGGUGUAGCAGUGAAAUGCGUAGAGCUCGUGAGGAAGACCGGUGGCGAAGGCGGAUCUCUGGACGGCCCCUGACGCUGAGGCGCGAAGGCUAGGGGGAGCAAACGGGG